rnacentral:rRNA from 1 species
GACGAACGCUGGCGGCGUGCUUAACACAUGCAAGUCGAGCGGUAAGGCCCCUUCGGGGGUACACGAGCGGCGAACGGGUGAGUAACACGUGGGUGACCUGCCCUCAGCUCUGUGAUAAGCCUGGGAAACUGGGUCUAAUACCGGAUAUGACCACAUGUUGCAUGGUGUGUGGUGGAAAGUUUUUUCGGCUGGGGAUGGGCCCGCGGCCUAUCAGCUUGUUGGUGGGGUGGUGGCCUACCAAGGCGACGACGGGUAGCCGGCCUGAGAGGGCGACCGGCCACACUGGGACUGAGACACGGCCCAGACUCCUACGGGAGGCAGCAGUGGGGAAUAUUGCGCAAUGGGCGGAAGCCUGACGCAGCGACGCCGCGUGGGGGAUGACGGCCUUCGGGUUGUAAACCGCUUUCGACCGGGACGAAGCGUAAGUGACGGUACCGGUAGAAGAAGCACCGGCUAACUACGUG